UACGUAGGGGGCAAGCGUUGUCCGGAUUUAUUGGGCGUAAAGCGCGUGUAGGCGGCUUUACAGGUCCGUUGUGAAAACUCGAGGCUCAACCUCGAGACGCCGGUGGAAACCGUAAAGCUAGAGUCCGGAAGAGGAGAGUGGAAUUCCUGGUGUAGCGGUGAAAUGCGCAGAUAUCAGGAAGAACACCCAUGGCGAAGGCGACCCCCUGGGACGGUACUGACGCUCAGACGCGAAAGCGUGGGGAGCAAACAGG
rnacentral:rRNA from 1 species